GUGAGCAAAGACCCAGGGUACCCGGUACCGGACCCGGAACCGGUUAGGAUCCGCCGGGUCCGGACCCGGAACUGGUCCCACCGGUUCCGGGACCGGGUCCAAAAUGUCGGACCCGGUUGUAACCGGUUCCGGGACCGGGUCCUAAAAUUUCGGACCCGGUACCCACUGGGUACCCGGUUUAAACCAAUUCCAGUUCCGGGUACCCGGUCCCGGAUCCAGACAAUCCGGGUACCCGGAACCGGUACUGAUUUAGUUAUAAAAAUUUUUUUUGUUUUUUUAAAAAACCCAACAAUUAUGGCCCAACCUAGCCCAAUAUUCCAGAUUUUACCCUAAGUAUAUAAAGCAAAAAAAAAAAAAAACCCUAUUCUAUCCUCUUGACUUCAGACACUCACUUCUCAGUUCUCACUUUCUCACCCUACUCUGCUUCUCUGCUACAGUGGUACUCACCACUCUCACACUCUCGCUCUCCUCUUGACUGUCGACCACCGUUCACCGUCGAGCGUUCACUUCUUAAUUCCUCCAAAGGUAAUUUUUAAACUUUGCAUAUCAAAUUAUCAAUUGCGAAUUUGCGAUUAUGUAUUUAUUCGGUUUAGAUCUGAAAAACGAAAGCUAAUUUUUAGGGUUUUAAUCAUGAAUAGUGUUAAUUAUGAAAAUUACUAUUAAAGAUGAGUUUGAAUCAUGAUAAAAUUACAAAUUACAAGUACAAAUUAGUUAAACAUUCAGAUUUGUUCCUUCCCUUGAAUUCUCUAGUAUUUUGGGUGAAUAUAAACUCGAUUGUGUUGAUUGUGCUUCUUCCCUUUCGUUUUAACUUAUGUUUUUUUUUUUAUAAAAAUCAUAUUAUCGAAGAAGAAUCGUGGGGUUUAAUACUUUAAUGGGUUUAAUCGUUUAUUCUCAGAUUUCGCAAGUUUAAUGGUUUUUAUUCUGUUUAUUUUGCUAUUUUUUAGGCAUUUUUAUUGCGUAAUCUAUUGAAUUACUGAUCUUUCAGUUUCUAGGUUUUACUUUGAUAUGUUGUGAUGUUGUCAUUGUGUCAAGUGUCUUGAUCUGUUUAGUCUCAAGGUUUAAUGUAUUGAUGUUGUUCUGCUUCUUUGCAUUGCUGUUGUGUUGGUGUCAAGUUUCAUGAAUUGAUUUAGUUUAUGGGUUUAAGCUAUUUCUUGUUUUAUUGAGCUGGUCUUUUCUGAAAUUUGUAGUUGUGGAGAAAGAUGUAGAUGGUGAUGCAUGUGCAGGAACUACAGUUGGAUUUCUAUGUAGAAUUUUGGGUUGGUGGAAAGAAAAAAGUGACAAAUACAAAGUAUUGUCAACAUUGGCUAAGGACAUUUUGGCUAUACCAAUUUCUACGGUUUCUAGUGAAUCCGCAUUUAGUACAUCGGGUCGCAUACUUGAUCAAUUUCGUAGUAGUUUGGGGCCAAAUAUGGUGGAAGCUUUAGUUUGUACUCAAGAUUGGUUAAGGGCGUCAAAUGUAUGCAUUGAUAUUGAGCGCUUCCUUGAGGAUGUUCAAAAAUAUGAAGAAGAAUUGGAUGGUAGUGACACUGGCAUCACACAAGUUAAUGAAUUUGUUGGAAAUAAUUGAUGUGACAAAGGUUUGUAUAAUUGUAUUCUUAAUUAUAUUGUAUGAAAAGAUAUCAAAUGACAAAUAUUCUAAGGACAUUUUGGCUUUUGUUUAUAGGGAAUUUGUGCUUCCUUGUUGGCUGCUGCCUCUUUGCUUUGUUGUCUGCUGUAUGCUGUCUUUCUCCGUUGCUUAGAUGGUUGCUGACUUGCUGCUGGUCUUGUUGCUGGCUGAUGGUGUGCUCAGCUGCUGCCUGCUGAUGGUGUGCUCAGCUGCUGCCUGUUGCUGCCCUUCCUUUUCUUCCCUUUUUUUUUCUGAACUUUUAUUUAAGUAGUUGUUUUGGUUAUGUUUGGAUGUUUGGACUUUGCAGCAUUGUUGAAGUUUGUUGUACUGAUAUUUUAGGUUGUUGAAUUGGUACUUUUUGGCUUAUUAGUUUGUAAUAUUUGUAUUUUGAAAUAUUUGUAUUUUGCUAGCCUCCAAAACUAAUUUAGGGAUAUUAUUAUGUUAA